AUUGAACGCUGGCGGCAGGCCUAACACAUGCAAGUCGAACGGUAGCACAGAGAGCUUGCUCUCGGGUGACGAGUGGCGGACGGGUGAGUAAUGUCUGGGAAACUGCCUGAUGGAGGGGGAUAACUACUGGAAACGGUAGCUAAUACCGCAUAACGUCGCAAGACCAAAGAGGGGGACCUUCGGGCCUCUUGCCAUCAGAUGUGCCCAGAUGGGAUUAGCUAGUAGGUGGGGUAACGGCUCACCUAGGCGACGAUCCCUAGCUGGUCUGAGAGGAUGACCAGCCACACUGGAACUGAGACACGGUCCAGACUCCUACGGGAGGCAGCAGUGGGGAAUAUUGCACAAUGGGCGCAAGCCUGAUGCAGCCACGCCGCGUGUAUGAAGAAGGCCUUCGGGUUGUAAAGUACUUUCAGCGGGGAGGAAGGUGUUGUGGUUAAUAACCGCAGCAAUUGACGUUACCCGCAGAAGAAGCACCGGCUAACUCCGUGCCAGCCGCCGCCGUAAUAC
rnacentral:rRNA from 1 species